rnacentral:rRNA from 1 species
GAUGAACGCUGGCGGCGUGCCUAAUACAUGCAAGUCGAGCGAAUGGAUUAAGAGCUUGCUCUUAUGAAGUUAGCGGCGGACGGGUGAGUAACACGUGGGUAACCUGCCCAUAAGACUGGGAUAACUCCGGGAAACCGGGGCUAAUACCGGAUAACAUUUUGAACCGCAUGGGUCGAAAUUGAAAGGCGGCUUCGGCUGUCACUUAGGGUGGGACCCGCGUCGCAUUAGCUAGUUGGUGAGGUAACGGCUCACAAAGGCAACGAUGCGUAGCCGACCUGAGAGGGUGAUCGGCCACACUGGGACUGAGACACGGCCCAGACUCCUACGGGAGGCAGCAGUAGGGAAUCUUCCGCAAUGGACGAAAGUCUGACGGAGCAACGCCGCGUGAGUGAUGAAGGCUUUCGGGUCGUAAAACUCUGUUGUUAGGGAAGAACAAGUGCUAGUUGAAUAAGCUGGCACCUUGACGGUACCUAACCAGAAAGCCACGGCUAACUACGUGCCAGCCGCCGCAGUAA